rnacentral:rRNA from 1 species
ACGAACGUUGGCGGCGUGGAUUAGGCAUGCAAGUCGAACGAAUCCUAGAGGGGUAACUCUCUGGGGGAAGUGGCGAAAGGGGCAGUAAGGCGUGGAUAACCUACCCCGGGGACGGGGAUAGCCAUCCUAACGGGUGGAUAAUACCCGGCGAUGUGGCGAGGGCGCAUGUUCUUGCCAUGAAAUGAAUUUCGCCUCGGGAGGGGUUCACGUGGUAUUAGCUAGUUGGUGGGGUAACGGCCUACCAAGGCUAAGAUGCCUAGCAGGUGUGAGAGCAUGACCUGCGCCACUGGCACUGAGACACUGGCCAGACUCCUACGGGAGGCUGCAGUCGAGGAUCUUCGGCAAUGGGCGCAAGCCUGACCGAGCGACGCCGCGUGCGCGAUGAAGGCCUUCGGGUUGUAAAGCGCUGUCGAGGGGGAGGAAAGCCCGAAAGGGUCUGACCUAUCCCUGGAGGAAGCACGGGCUAAGUUCGU